rnacentral:rRNA from 1 species
UGACCGCUGGCGGUAGGCCUAACACAUGCAAGUCGAACGGCAGCACAGUAAGAGCUUGCUCCUACGGGUGGCGAGUGGCGGACGGGUGAGGAAUACAUCGGAAUCUACUUUUUCGUGGGGGAUAACGUAGGGAAACUUACGCUAAUACCGCAUACGACCUACGGGUGAAAGCAGGGGAUCUUCGGACCUUGCGCGAUUGAAUGAGCCGAUGUCGGAUUAGCUAGUUGGCGGGGUAAAGGCCCACCAAGGCGACGAUCCGUAGCUGGUCUGAGAGGAUGAUCAGCCACACUGGAACUGAGACACGGUCCAGACUCCUACGGGAGGCAGCAGUGGGGAAUAUUGGACAAUGGGCGCAAGCCUGAUCCAGCCAUACCGCGUGGGUGAAGAAGGCCUUCGGGUUGUAAAGCCCUUUUGUUGGGGAAGAAAAGCAGCAGGUUAAUACCCCGCUGUUCUGACGGUACCCAAAGAAUAAGCACCGGCUAACUUCGUG